AGGAGAAGAUUUACUUGCUGAGUUUGAUUGUGGAAGAGGGACCAGCUGAGGAAGAAUCUGGUUAAACCCCUGCAGCUGGUUUAAUUUACAUCCCCGUUCAGGGAGGAGAGCUGGGGACUGCUGACUUAAGAGAUACAAAGUUAUGCCUUGCAGUAUUGAGGAGAACUGGGAACUCCAGGGUUACAAAAGAGCAGCUGUAUAAAAUAUAACCCUAGCUCUAGAAAUGGGGCUCUGAGGGCCUCCUGAACAGGGUAAAGGAAGCUGUCCAGGACUCUCAUAUGGACCCAGAGUGGGGUGAACUAGGGCAACUAAUGAAGCUGUUUCACAGUGCCAUAUGGGGCUAUUGCUUUGUUAUGAAAACUGUUGAAGAUAAAGGCCAAGAUGGUGGAUUAGCUCCUGAUCCAGAGAGGUGUGUUAUAGAACUGUAUGUGAGGGAAAGACUUAGAAUGCAUGGCUGCAUUUCCAACCUCAAAGGCCCUGCACGAUCAUGAGCGUUCCUUUGACCAAGGAAACUGGAUGCAUCUUCCACAAAUAUCUGUCAGCUCCCAAAAUGGCCUCAGAAAUAGCUGAAGAGAAAUAUAAGAUGCUCCCAUCUCACAGGGGCUAAAGGGGCUGUUUUCUCAGCACCCCAUCUUGUGCUAGCCUAAUUUGGUAACAAAGGACUAAUCCCAUCUAUGGUGACCCAUUGAUUGUUGGACUUGGAGGACUGUAAUACAAUAUUUCUUUAAAUAACACUUUGUAUUUUUACAUAGGAUGCUUACACACACACAAAUAUCAAAUCACUUCUACAUCUACACUCACCUAGAAAAGGAAAGUUGACAGUUAAUCUACUUACUUAUUUAUCUCUACUUAGAAUGUAAACUCUUUGGGGGAGCAAUGCUCUCUUUAUUCUAUGCCUGUACAACACCUAGCAUGAUGGGGUCCCAGUGCCUGAGGGGUGCUCCUAAGGUGUUACUUUAACAGUACUACACCACCACAACCUCCUUUAAGCCAUGAAAACCAGCUAGCUGUUCAAUAAUAGCUAUGUAGCAUUAAGAUAAAUACAGACUCAAGUAUGUCCAGCACCAGAGCUGUGGUGGUGCCUGUCUAUAUUAAAGGAUUAGAGAAGUAAAACAAAGCAGGAAUUGCCAUACUGGGUAAGAGCAGGGGUCCAUCUAACCCACUGUCCUGUCUCAAACAAUGGACAGUAUCCAGUGCUUUGGAGGAAGGUGCAGGACACUUUACCUAUAUGGAAAUAUCUUCUUACCCCCCGUCUGAGGUAGCAAUAGCCGUACAGAGAACAAAGGGAGAUCACUGCUGAUUGAUCACCUGUGCAAUGAAACCUUCACCGUAACGAGAAGGGAGCUGCGUCACAUGUGUAUACUUCCUUAGGAAGUAUGCAGAGCUGGGAAUGGACACCAUGUUGACACCACGGGGGGAGGGAUAGCUCAGUGGUUUGAGCAUUGGCCUGCUAAACCCAGCAU